rnacentral:rRNA from 1 species
GAUGAACGCUAGCGGGAGGCUUAACACAUGCAAGUCGAGGGGCAGCACGAGAUAGCAAUAUUUUGGUGGCGACCGGCGCACGGGUGAGUAACACGUAUGCAACCUACCUCGUACAGGGGGAUAACCCGGAGAAAUUCGGACUAAUAUCCCAUAAUAAUAUUGAAAGGCAUCUUUUAAUAUUUAAAGCUCAGGCGGUACGGGAUGGGCAUGCGGAACAUUAGCUAGUUGGUAGGGUAACGGCCUACCAAGGCUGCGAUGUUUAGGGGACCUGAGAGGGUUAUCCCCCACACUGGUACUGAGACACGGACCAGACUCCUACGGGAGGCAGCAGUGGGGAAUUUUGGACAAUGGGCGCAAGCCUGAUCCAGCCAUGCCGCGUGCGGGACGAAGGCCUUCGGGUUGUAAACCGCUUUCAGCCGGAAAGAAAUCGCCGUUUUUAAUACAGACGGUGGAUGACGGUACCGGAAGAAGAAGCACCGGCUAACUACGUGCCAGCAGCCGCGGUAAUGUGUGACUG